UGUAGGCGCUGGCUUGCCUGCGAUGCAGACAGCUCGGUGUUUCAGUGCGACCGGGUUGAUGCUAUCGCAGGCAAGCCAGCUCCCACA
rnacentral:misc_RNA from 1 species